rnacentral:rRNA from 1 species
UACAGAGGUCUCAAGCGUUGUUCGGAUUCAUUGGGCGUAAAGGGUGCGUAGGCGGCCAACUAAGUCAGACGUGAAAUCCCUCGGCUUAACCGGGGAACUGCGUCUGAUACUGGAUGGCUUGAGUUUGGGAGAGGGAUGCGGAAUUCCAGGUGUAGCGGUGAAAUGCGUAGAUAUCUGGAGGAAUACCGGUGGCGAAGGCGGCAUCCUGGACCGGCAUUGACGCUGAGUGAGCGAAAGCCAGGGGAGCAAACGGG